CCCUUAGAUGUUCUGGGCCGCACGCGCGCUACAAUGAUGAAUUCAACGAGUUUAUAACCUUGGUUGAAAAGCCUGGGUAAUCUUUUGAACUUUCGUCGUGAUGGGGCUAGACCCUUGCAAUUAUUGGUCUCCAACGAGGAAUUCCUAGUAAACGCGAGUCAUCAGCUCGCAUUGAUUACGUCCCCGCCCUUUGUACACACCGCCCGUCGCACCUACCGAUUGAAUGUUUCGGUGAAGAUUCCGGAUAGGACUUUUUUGAUUUAUUUCAAUUUUGUCUUAAAAGCUAUCUAAACCUCAACAUUUAGAGGAAGGUGAAGUCGUAACA
rnacentral:rRNA from 1 species